rnacentral:lncRNA from 1 species
CGGAAACUGUCCUGGCACGCAGGCGGUGGCCCCCGGUGCCGUGAGAUGUCCUGGAAGCCCCUCAGCCUGAAGGCUUGGGUGCCACCCAGAAUCCAUGGACCAGGAACAGAGAGCUGACCCAGAGGGCAGAGCACCUGGCCACCAGUCUGACCAGUCCUCUCCGCCAAGGCUUGGACUGCCUAGGGAAGUCGCCUAGAGCCGUGACACUGCCCUUUGUGAGUGCCCCCAGAACAUGGCAGGGCAGUGGUGGGAACUGCCCACAGGCUGGGGCCACGCCCAGGACGUGGGCAGAGGUAGGGACAGGGAGGGCCCUCAGGAGGCAGUUAGUUCGAAAGGGUGGAGGCCUGGUGAUGGGAUUGGAGCCCUCACAGGAGUGACCAGAAAGCUGCCCCCCCACCAUGUGAAGGCAGCAGGAGGUGCCACCUGUGGACUGGGAAGCAGGCCCUGAGUCAUGGUGCACCUGUGUGCCCUGCUCUGGCCCUGGGUGGAGCAAGGUCUGCUGUCUGCACCUGGUUCUUGGCAUUUAUCAGCAACCUGAGCUAAGACUUGGAGGAGUGAGGGAGGGACAGCUGUCUGUCACCUGUGCAGCCCCAGGUGGCCUUGCUGCCAGUCCUGCUGGCACCUGGGGACUGUCAGAAUCUCUGGGCUCUUCUGUGCACCAGGCACAUGGGGAGGGUCUCCUUCUCACACCAUCCCCCCAGGUGAGGCCCUGGGUCCUCUUUGGCCCCCACUGUGAUGGCUGAUGUCGCUGAGUGCCCCGCCACGUCCUCUCGGCACCACAGGGUAGCCGUGUCCUUACCUGGGGAUAGGUAAGGAGAGGUCAGGUAGCCCCCAGUCAGACCACUGACAAAUGCAGGGGCUGGACUCUGGUUCAGGCUUCCUUCAGGGGGUCCCAGGCCAGGCCCCGGCCGUCCUGCCUGUCCUUGCCAGGGCAGGUCGGCCAGUGGCCUCUUGCCCAUCCUGCCAGGGUCAGCUUCGGACUGCACCCCAGCCCCCGUCCACCUGCCACAAGUCCACUCCAGAACCCAUCCGAGGAGGUGGCAGGGACCACGCCCCAGCGCCCACCCUAGGGGCUCUCCAAGCGAGAGGCCAGACCAGGACAGGGGGCCAGCCUGUGUGUGGGUCACGGCCCUUCCUGGGGUGCACUCAUAUCCGAUGCACUGUGUGCCCCGAGGGACUGCCCUGGUGAGUCCCCAGCGCUGGAAAAGAGCAGAGGAUAGUCCCGCUCCUUCCCUGGCUCUGCUGGGCACCGAGGACCAGAUGAGACCAUAUGGGACCAGAUGGGAUGUCCUGAGGUGGGCUGGCCAGGCCGCCGGCCCUGCCCCUGUCCCCGACGGGGAGACACGCUUGCCCUGGAGCUGCCGGCACUGGCCUCCUCCCACACGGGCCUCUCCCCACACAAGCUCCUGUGGCCUCUGCUUGUGCCCUCCCUCGGCAGGGCUGACCCGUGGGCUGAUGUGGGAGGAGGUGCUCGGGGAGGUCUGUACAGCCCAGCAGCUCUCCCCUCUAGUCCAGGGGAGGGUGGAGCCAGAGCGGAUUCCUGGGGUCCCUGCGCAAGUGUGUUCCGACCGGGAGUUUCACAGGGCAGCAGUGCCUACUGCCUGGGGUGCUGUAGAGCUGGACACGCUGCCCACGGGCCAGCACAUAGUAGGACCUCGGGGUGGCAGGCAGACUCCCUGUCCAGAAACCAUGCUGGGGGAGAUCGCCUCAUUGGGGCCCGUCCGGUGGGGUCUUGACCGAGGCAAACUGAUGAACAGGCCCAGUCUGAAGACCACUCCUGGCCAUGAGCCUCCAGGGGCUAUCUGCCUCUCUGCCCUCACUGACGGGCAGCCAGCAGCCGUGCUGGGCCCCUCCUCUGCUGCAGGGGCCAGGCCCCAUUCGUUUACCUGGCCUGCUUGUUGUCCAUGUGAUGGACCCUCAUGGGAACAGCCGGGAGCCCAGGUCACUAGGCUGCGACCCUGGCUGCUGUGUGUCCCAGCCCUGCUGGCCGAGCUGCUGCUGGUGCAGGUUUGAGGCUCAGUCAUGAGGUGAGUCGAGAAGGAAGUCUCUGGUGACCAGUGCCCAUUCGGUCUUUAGGCACUGGAUGAGCACAUUGCUGACCUCUGGCCCUUGGGGCCCCGGUGUCGGCCAGCUGGGAUGGCCUGUGCUCUGAGGCUGUGGGGGCCAUCAGCAGGUUGCACCCCUCCCUCCCCACAGGUCUCCCUCCUUGGAUUCACAGCUUUCCUGAAUCUUCUUGACCUGGGCCAUGGGAGCAGUGUCAUGGUGACAGCACCUGUCAUANCGUGGUCUCAGAGCAGCAUGUGUCCAAACACGUCUCCACGGGAGUGUAAGGGUAAAAGAAAUUGAAGUUAAAGCGUAAAAGUUAAAGGGUAAAAGACCGGGUGUUGUAAAGUUUCUAAGCUGCAAGGUCUGAGUUAAAAUGUAAAGGAUUAGGUAUUGUUAGGUUUCUAUGCUACCUGCAAAACCUGAAAUCCCUGUAGCUGUUAGGACAGUGCUUGGAACUGCCCAGUAAAUAUUCCCACUGAUUCCGUGGUUGUCCAAUAACUAGGGACUCUGUGUAACUGGUCACAUAGUCCUCUAGGCCCUAAAACCCAUCAGUUUGAAUGUGUACCCCGUUUAGAAAUGACCUGUCACUCCAGCCUGACCUGUUCCCGCCAAUGAAUGAACUAAUCAGGUUUAGGAGUUGUUCGAUUUUCCUGCGCCUCAUGAUGAUUUGUUCUGAUGUAUACAAAGCCCUCCGCCCUCCCCAAAAAGUGUACUUAAGCAGUGCUCAGCCCCUGCUCGGGGCUCUGGGCUGUUCUCCCUUCUUGAGUGGGCACGGAGCCCCAGCAUGCUGGUUCAAUAAAUCCCCUUCUGACAAUUGCAUGAGUGGU